rnacentral:rRNA from 1 species
UAGGGAAUCUUCCGCAAUGGACGCAAGUCUGACGGAGCAACGCCGCGUGAGUGAAGAAGGAUUUCGGUUCGUAAAACUCUGUUGUUAGAGAAGAACAGCGCAUAGAGUAACUGUUAUGCGUGUGACGGUAUCUAACCAGAAAGCCACGGCUAACUACGUGCCAGCAGCCGCGGUAAUACGUAGGUGGCAAGCGUUGUCCGGAUUUAUUGGGCGUAAAGCGAGCGCAGGCGGUCAAUUAAGUCUGAUGUGAAAGCCCCCGGCUCAACCGGGGAGUGUCAUUGGAAACUGGUUGCCUUGCGUGCAGAAGAGGAGCUUGGAAUUCCAUGUGUAGCGGUGAACUGCGUAGCUAUAUGGAGGAACACCAGUGGCGAAGGCGACUCUCUGGUCUGUAACUGACGCUGAGGCUCGAAAGCGUGGGUAGCAAACAGG